rnacentral:rRNA from 1 species
CGUCUAUAUACGUAUAGCAUAUCAAUAAGCGGAGGAAAAGAAACUAACAAGGAUUCCCUUAGUAACGGCGAGUGAAGGCGGGAAGAGCUCAAAUUUGAAAUCUUCAAGGUUCUACCUUGACGAAUUGUAGUUUAAUAGAAGUGUUUUCUGUUAGUAGGAGUGGCAAAAGUUCUUUGGAAUAGGACAUCAUAGAGGGUGAGAAUCCCGUAUUUGGUCAUUCCUUUCUAGCUUUGUGAUACACUUUCAACGAGUCGGAUUGUUUGGGAAUGCAGUCCAAAAUGGGUGGUAAAUUUCAUCUAAAGCUAAAUAUUGGCGAGAGACCGAUAGCGAACAAGUACCGUGAGGGAAAGAUGAAAAGAACUUUGAAAAGAGAGUUAAACAGUACGUGAAAUUGUCAAAAGGGAAGCGUUUGACACCAGUGUUGUUUUUCCGAAAAUCAAUUACGAAUGUUUUAUUUUUGAGGAGUUAUGACUUCAUCGGCUUGCUUCUCUCUUUACGAAACUUUCUUAAUGCACUUUUCGGUUAACAAGUCAACAUCAAUUUCUUUUGUUGUAAAAGGGUAUGAGGAAGGUGGCUUUCUUUUCGGAGAAAGUGUUUAUAGCCUUGUACCUCUGCAAUCGGAGAGAUUGAGGUCUGCAGCGUAGAUCCUUCGGGGUUAGAUACAUUUGUGCUAAGUUAUAGCUUUUCAUAGACAACUUGUUGACUAUGUUAAGUCUUGUAGCUUACUCGCUUAUGCUAUUUUACCUACGCUUAGGAUGUUGAUAUGCAUGACUGAUAU